ensembl:lncRNA
GCCGUGAGGCGCGCGGUCAGCCGGCUUCGGGUGCCCGGCCCUAUGGCAGCCACGGAAAGCUCCCGCGUGGUUCUCAGAAACAGUUUCCCUCUGCGCUGGGAGCAGUUUGAUGAAGAUUUUUAAGUGAAAAAAAAAGAAAAAAAGAAGAAGCGUAUUUUGAGUGGCUUACCAAGGCUGAAGGCGUCCAGGUUCCCAAAGGGUUCCAGGUGUCGGUACCUGAGAACGGCUGGUUUAAUGCUGCGCCGUGUCGAGCUAAAAGCAGUGGGAGGAUGUUGAGACGCCUAUCGCAUGUAAUCAGAAGUAAUUACACUCUACAGAUACCAGCCACAACGAUUCUUGCUGUACAGAGAUGCGUUACAUCUUUUUGUGCUGAGAGAAUUUUAGUGUGGUAGGGAAAAUAUUCCAUCACAGAACUGCAGCCACGACAAAAUGAAGGCAGAAUGUGUGUUUUUACACACAGAAUAUGCAGAACAGCAGGUAUGCAGGGACUGUGUGUUGGUUUACCUACGCAAUACUUCUGUUCCUUUGUCUACAUCCAACUGAGGUGACGUUUUUUCUCUUGCUUUAAACUUUUCCUAAGCAUUAUGUGGCCAACAGGGUGAAUUUGCACGAAUCCGUAUUCCAAAACUUGGAUCCUACUGAAAUUGAAAUCUGUGAAGUGUUCCAAUUGCUGCAGAGUAAGUGGGCUCUGACUCCUAAUACAACUGCUUAGAUAGAGCUCUCACUGCUGAGCCAGCAACGCAGGCUGUCCAUACAAGGUGCUCAUUACCUCAUGCUUUUGGUGUCAGCCAAGCUUCUGCCUCUAAUUUUUCCAAACAUCUAAAAUUUGUACUGAUGAAACACAGGAAAAGAAAGAAAGAAAGAAAGGAAAAAAAAAAAAACCAGCAACAACCAACCAAGAGGUUCACAGAGAUAAAUGACUCUGCUGCAGCUUUGAAGGGCUGUUUUUGUCUGUUUUGUCUUCAUCUUGAACUAUUUAGGGAGGUGCUUUCUUGUGUCUUUUGUCACUUGAAAAUCCCAUUUAGCCUCAGUGGAAUCACAUACAUGGAUCACAGAUCUGAUGUGAACUCUUUGCACAGAGUGGAGGAUUUCUUCCAGCUCAGAGGGAAUCUGUUUCAAAAUCAGUUUUUCGGUACAACAGGACAUAAGCAACUUCCAUUAAAGGACAGACAGCCUUCACUGAAGCUACUUAGAGGAAGCUGCUCUGCAAGAAAAAGAAGAUCCUGUGAGCACUCAAGGUCAACGCUCAAUGAGGCACAACUGGAGACAGAAGGCAGUUCCAUGAAGCACAGCUCCUGCUUUUUCCCUGCUGUUCUUGGUCCAGCAACUGAUGACAACGAAUCAGCUUCUAGCUCCUUGACUGCAGACGUGCGAUCCUCCUUACCCUGCUGGCAGGAGACUUUUGCAACCCCCUGAUGCUUUUGGGAGUUUCAAGGUCCUGUCAGCUGGAGCAGUGAAUGCCCGCAUCCCCUGGAAACUGCAGUAGUAUCCUGCUGCCUUAUAAAGGUUGAUAAUUGGAGAUGUAACAUCAUACACUGCAAAGAAUUAAGCAUGAAUGAUUCUAGAUCAUGAAAAAAAUCUGGGCAAGCUUGAAAAGCUCUUCCCCAGGGACAACAUUCCAGCUGGGGCUGAUGGUGCUGUGUGUGUGCACAUAAUGCCAUCCAUCAUGAGCUGCCUGUUUUCCCAACAGUGUGAGUGGGACUCUGGUACAACCCAGAGAGGACGUAGAGGAUGUGGUGAAAGAAACCCCUGACCUUGCUCCCUUCUAUGAAUUUUGAGUCUAGAUAAGACAAUCAUCUUGUUAUACUACUUCUUAGGAGUCUAAUCAUAUUACAGGACAUUGUAUUUCACCUGUUAGCUUCAAGACACCUUGUGAAUGGCUGAACGUGUCAGGAAAAGCUCUCUUGUGCUUCAGAUGUGAAUCAUUGACUGGAUUGUAAAAGGCAAAGGCAAUCAAUCAACUCCAAUCUGAGAGUUGUUGUUCAUGUGGGUAACGUAUCUUGAAGCUUUAAUCAUCUGCGUACCCUUUCGGAAGUAAUUUCUACAAAUAAAUUCCAAAUGUCAGAUAUAUUUCAUCAUUUAGCUUCAGCAUAUGGAAGUAAAAGUUGAAAGAAGCAAUUCACGGUCAUUUCUUACUGGGAAGAAAAUGAAGGGAAAAAUCCUUGCAGAAGAAAGAGAAGAAAAAGGAAGCCGCAGGAAAGUAUUGCGAGCUGAUUUGUGGACACUCCCCCAAAAGGUCAUGGGAGGUAAUGGAAGGAAUGAAACUGGUGAUGGAAAUCAGCAACACAGACAAACAUCCAAAAAAAUACAAUCUUCAAGGGAGCAGCAGGCAAUCAGGCAGGGGUUCUGUGAGAAUCCACAAACCUCAUGUCAGUGCUAAAAUAGGACAGCCAUCAGCUCUGCUCCACAUCACGCCCACGUGCAAAAGAGCCCAGCACCCAGAGCUCCAUCACAACCAGCUGCAGUUUGAGCACACACAGCCUCAGGCUUUGGCAAAAGCGCGUGAAGACCAGGUUUAUUUGGGCAGGGCUGGAUGAUGCUGGCAGAGAAGCAUCCACCCUUCGGUGUGAAAGUGGAAGGAGCUGAACUUUGAACUCUGAGAUAAGCAAAUCUGAACAUGAAAUAAGACAGUGGCAUGUUGGACUUAAGCUGGCCUUUAUAUAAAAACAGUGCACAGAAUGCCUUCUGUUCUUGAUUUUAUGUUCCACAAGUAGACUCUAAGACUCUGCUUUUCCUCCCCACCACUGGAGCUGUAUUAAGGCCCAGCAAUUCGGCAAUCCUGGCUCUUCUGAUCCUGGUAAUUUUAAAUGGUGUUGUGACCCUAAGAACAAAAGCAGUUUCCCUCUCCACUGUAUUUUGGUUGUUCUGGGACACGUUCUGUCCUGUAAUCAAUAGAGUUUAAAAAUAAAUUUACGUUGUGCUUUUCAAACAUAAAA